AUCCAAGGUGACUCGUAGUACAGGUGUGUAAUAGACCCUUCUAUCCAAGGUGACUCGUAGUACAGGUGUGUAAUAGACUCUUCUAUCCAAGGUGACUCGUAGUACAGGUGUGUAAUAGACUCUUCUAUCCAAGGUGACUCGUAGUACAGGUGUGUAAUAGACUCUUCUAUCCAAUGUGACUCGUAGUACAGGUGUGUAAUAGACUCUUCUAUCCAAGGUGACUCGUAGUACAGGUGUGUAAUAGACUAGUGUUAUCCAAUGUGACUCGUAGUACAGGUGUGUAAUAGACUAGUGAUAUCCAUUUGUGUGUGUGCUCCCCAGGACUCUUGGUGUUGAUAGCAGCACCCAAUAUCAGUUCAGACACAGGAGCACAGGAGUCAAAGGACCUUCAGAGUGAGGUU
ensembl:lncRNA